AUGGAGUUUGGUUUGGACAAAUGUUCGACAGUGGCAUUGAAGAAGGGAAAAAUCAUUGAAAGUGAGGGCAUAAAUAUGUCCAAUGGCCAAACAAUAAAGUGUCACCAGCCAGAGGCCUAUAAAUAUCUGGGCAUACUACAGCUGGACAACAUCAAGCAUGAACAUGUGAAAACUGUGGUCAGCAAAGAAUACACACAAAGGGUCAGAAAAAUUCUCAAAAGCAAGCUCAAUGGAGGCAACACCAUCAAGACCAUAAACACCUGGGCCAUACCUGUCAUAAGAUAUACUGCUGGCAUUAUGAAUUGGACACAGGUGGAACUGGACAAUUUGGACAGAAAAAUAAGAAAACUCAUGGCCAUUCAUCAUUCCCUGCACCCUCGAAGUGAUGUUGACCGGCUAUAUCUGCCUAGAAGAUCGGAGGGCAGAGGACUCUUACAAGUAAAACAAGCAGUCAAAGAAGAAGAACAUGCCCUGGCAGAAUAUGUCAAGCAAAGUGAAGAACCUGCUUUGAUUGAAGUCAAAAAUCAGAAACUCCUCAAAACACAGCAGACAAAAAACCAGUACAAGAAAACCGCACUACAAACUAGAGCUGACAGCUGGCACAACAAAACACUGCAUGGAAAGUUCCUUGACAAAAUUGAAGGAAAAGCUGAUAAGGAGAAGACCUGGCUCUGGCUCACGAAUGGGACCCUGAAGAAGGAGACAGAAGGCCUGAUCCUUGCAGCCCAGGAGCAAGCCAUCAGAACAAAUGCAAUUAAGGCCAAGAUUGAAAAAUCAGCUGAUGACCCAAAAUGCAGACUGUGCAAGGAAACCGACGAAACCAUUGAUCAUAUCCUCAGCUGCUGUAAGAAAAUCACACAGACAGACUACAAACAGAGGCACAACUAUGUGGCCCAAAUGAUUCAUUGGAACUUAUGCCUCAAAUACCAGCUGCCAGCAGUAAAGAACUGGUGGGAUCACAAACCUGCAAAAGUAUUGGAAAAUGAGCACGCAAAGAUACUGUGGGACUUCCGAAUCCAGACUGACAAAGUUCUGGAAGACAACACACCAGACAUCACAGUUGUGGAAAAGAACAAGGUUUGGAUCAUUGAUGUCGCCAUCCCAGGUGACAGUCGCAUUGAAGAAAAACAACAGGAAAAACUCAGCCGCUAUCAGGACCUCAAGAUUGAACUUCAAAGACUCUGGCAGAAACCAGUGCAGAUGGUCCCGGUGGUGAUGGGCACACUGGGUGCCGUGCCAAAAGAUCUCAGCUGGCAUUUGGAAACAAUAGACAUUGACAAAAUCACCAUCUGCCAACUGCAAAAGGCCACCCUACUGGGAUCUGCACACAUCAUCAGAAAAUACAUCACACAGUCCUAG
rnacentral:lncRNA from 1 species